UACGUAGGGUGCAAGCGUUGUCCGGAAUUAUUGGGCGUAAAGAGCUCGUAGGCGGUUUGUCGCGUCGAAUGUGAAAACCCGGGGCUCAACCCCGGGCCUGCAUUCGAUACGGGCAGACUAGAGUUCGGUAGGGGAGUCUGGAAUUCCUGGUGUAGCGGUGAAAUGCGCAGAUAUCAGGAGGAACACCGGUGGCGAAGGCGGUUCUCUGGGCCUUACCUGACACUGAGGAGCGAAAGCGUGGGGAGCGAACAGG
rnacentral:rRNA from 1 species